CUACGGGAGGCAGCAGUGGGGAAUCUUGGACAAUGGGCGAAAGCCUGAUCCAGCGACGCCGCGUGGGGGACGAAGCCCUUCGGGGUGUAAACCCCUGUUGCGAGGGAGGAAUAAGACCUGGAGGAAAUGCCAGGUCGAUGACUGUACCUCGCGAGAAAGCCCCGGCUAACUACGUGCCAGCAGCCGCGGUAAUACGUAGGGGGCGAGCGUUACCCGGAUUCACUGGGCGUAAAGGGGGUGUAGGCGGCUCGGCAAGUCGGGUGUGAAAUCCCACGGCUCAACCGUGGAAUUGCGCCCGAAACUGCCGAGCUUGGGGCCGGUAGAGGGAGACGGAACUGCCGGUGUAGGGGUGAAAUCCGUAGAUAUCGGCAGGAACGCCGGUGGGGAAGCCGGUCUCCUGGGCCGCGCCCGACGCUGAGGCCCGAAAGCUAGGGGAGCAAACCGGAUUAGAUACCCGGGUAGUCCUAGCCGUAAACGAUGCCCACUAGGUGUGGGGGAGUCAUUCCUCCGUGCUGUAGCUAACGCGUUAAGUGGGCCGCCUGGGGAGUACGCCCGCAAGGGUGAAACUCAAAGGAAUUGACGGGGGCCCGCACAAGCGGUGGAGCGCGUGGUUUAAUUGGAUGCUGAGCCAAGAACCUUACCAGGGCUUGACAUGCAGGUGGUACCGACCCGAAAGGGGAGGGACCCCAUCCUUUUGGGUGGGGAGCCUGCACAGGUGGUGCACGGCCGUCGUCAGCUCGUGCCGUGAGGUGUUGGGUUAAGUCCCGCAACGAGCGCAACCCCUGCCCUUAGUUGCCAUCGGUUCGGCCGGGCACUCUAAGGGGACUGCCGGCGACGAGCCGGAGGAAGGAGGGGACGACGUCAGGUACUCGUGCCCUUUAUGCCCUGGGCUACACACGCGCUACAAUGGGUGGUACAGUGGGUUGCGACUCCGCGAGGGGGAGCCAAUCCCUAAAACCACCCCCAGUUCGGAUCGCAGGCUGCAACCCGCCUGCGUGAAGCCGGAAUCGCUAGUAAUCGCGGAUCAGCCACGCCGCGGUGAAUACGUUCCCGGGGUUUGUACACACCGCCCGU
rnacentral:rRNA from 1 species